rnacentral:lncRNA from 1 species
CCUUUGUUCGUCGCCUAGCAAACUCUCUUUUGUGGGGUCUCUAGCUUUUCUAGUGGGGCCUUAUUGACCUAAGAGUGCCCUUGGACUGAUUUGCCAUUAGUAAGGAAGGGAAGAUCUUUACGUAUAAUAUUAAGAGGAUGCUAUCAUCAUGAAUCGCAACAACUUAAUAGACACAAAGUAAUAUAGAGAAUCCAACUUGACUUCCCCACCGUCGACACCAUAAGCUCUGCAUCACUGUGCUACCGCGUAUGAGAUAGUUAUACAUCUCCUGGCAAAACCAUCAACCAAAAGUGGAAUUAUCACCCUAAUAAUGGUUAAGGAGUAUGGGCAAAAGAACCCUAAUAAUGGUUAGGAGUAUGGGCAAAAGUAGGGAGCCGACCUGGGGAUGAGAAGGCGAGCGCUGUGGAGCAGUGAUAAGAGCGGGCCCGGAAGCAAUAACAGAUUUGGUGAGUUGAUCGCAACCCUCGCAGUCGAGCCUCAGGCAGGAGAUGCGAACCUAAAGAACUCUGAUAGGAUAAGGAAGGAGAUGCGAACCUAAAGAACCUACCCAGAAAAGAUCACAUGCCUUUAGAACACCUACCCACUUAUAAACACUAUUCCUUUCAUUUAUUGCUGCUAAUACACUAUUAAACACUAUUCCUUUCUUAUAAACACUAUUGUCAAAUACUAUCUUGCUUUGCUUGUAUUCCAAUUGCAGCCCAUAGACACAGGCACAUUCACUGAGGAAGAAGAGAAAGAGAAAGGAAGGAGAGAUAAGAGAAGGUGAUGCUGGGAGAGUGAGGCAGAGAGAGAUAAGAGAAGUGAUGCUGGGAGAGUGAGGCAGAGAGAGAGCCCAAAAGAGAGAGAGAGAUGGGUAGGAGGAAGAUAGAGAUAAAGAAGAUAUAGAACCCAACAAACAGGCAAGUAACAUACUAACAGAGGAGGACAGAGGAAUCAUGAAGAAGGCCAAGGAGCGGCGAGUUUGGCUUGUUUAAUCCUGAACGGAACCUCGCUUGAACGCCACGCCAGUAUUGGAUUAUGAUUCUUCAGAGUUAAUCAAUCACUGUUCGUUGUUUUGUUGACAGUAUUGACAGGGCCGCCAAGUCGACAAGCAGACAAGUUUACUUAGCCCUGUGGGAAUUGCCAGUUACAGAAGAAAGUUCAGGUUAGGCCCAGACUCAGUGUCCUUAUCCGUGUGAUAUCUUGUCAUUAUUUAUCUUAUUAUAUGGUUAGUGUUAGAGAUUCAAAAGUCAGUAAAGUAUCUCUCCCUACCAGAGUGACUGAGCAAGCGGGUAUCUCGGUCGAAAGGAAGCUGUUAGAAUAGUGCCUGUAGCAAGUGG